rfam:Ixodes scapularis strain Wikel colony gcontig_1107728763426, whole genome shotgun sequence.
ACCGGGUUAGCUCAGUUGGUAGAGCACUCCACUCGAAAUGGACGGGACCCUGCUUUGAUACCAGGACCACGCG